UACGUAAGUGGCGAGCGUUAUCCGGAAUUACUGGGCGUAAAGAGCUCGUAGGCGGUUUGUCGCGUCUGCCGUGAAAGCCCCGGGCUCAACCUGGGAAUGGCAAUGGAAACUGGCGAGCUAGAGUACGGUAGAGGAGAGUGGAAUUCCCGGUGUAGCAGUGAAAUGCGUAGAGAUCGGGAGGAACAUCAGUUGCGAAGGCGGCUCUCUGGACCAGUACUGACGCUGAGGCACGAAAGCGUGGGGAGCAAACAGG
rnacentral:rRNA from 1 species